CUCACCUGGGAAUAGAUCUCCGGGAGGAUCUCGCCUAAGGAGAAGCUCUCACCUGACAGGAAAGUUUUCACCAGCUAGGAUGCAGUGGAAUGGGUGCGAGGACGAUCCUCAGAGACUCUUGGCAUUGCCGGCUCACAGAGAUCUUCGAGCCCCGUGGCCCCUCCUCUGAGGGCCCAGCGGCCAGAAGGGCCGGAGCGCACAAUCCCGGACCAGUUGCAUCCCUGGGUGGACCCAGACCCUAGCUACGGACACUCUUGCAGCCACGUCCCGGCCCAAACGCGCCGUACCGGCGCACCUCCUGGGCCGGGGCUCCUCCGCACACAGCCGCCGGGAGGCGGCCCCCGGCUAGCCCUCGGACGGCGCUCGAGCGGCUUUCCGCACAGCCCGCAGGGGCUGGGGUCGCGCCGGCUCCCGCCCCAUCCCUCGCUACGGUUGGGCAGCCGCCUGCAGAAAAUCGACAAAGCGGUAAACCGAGGCGCGGCAGGCGGGAAAUGCCUGCUCCGGACUCGGCGGUACCCUUUCCGAGCUAACCCAAGCCGGGCGCCUGCUCGGGGCCAAGGGGUGGCCCGCGCCUC